rnacentral:RNase_P_RNA from 1 species
GAGACCGGGCUGGCGGCCUACGGGCUCUAAAGGCCUGAGGAAACUUCACCCUCCCCACGGUAAUGGGACCCCGCGAGGGGUACGGGGAGACCUGUGGCAAUGCCACAGAAACGGCACGCCCCCCAGGAGAUGCCUGUGAAGCAGAGAGGCGGGCUUGGCAACAGGCCUGUAGUAACCUGCAGAGCACCCUGGGGGAAGCGAUGAAACGGGCAGUCCCCCACGGAGCAAGGCUCCCAGCUAAUGAAUAACCGUGAAAGGCUGGGGAGACCGCAGAGUCGAAUGCCGCCGCAGUACAGAAGGUGAGUUAUAGCCCGGACUC